rnacentral:rRNA from 1 species
AUGAACGCUAGCGGCAGGCUUAAUACAUGCAAGUCGAGGGACAGCACAGGUAGCAAUACUGGGUGGUAACCGGCAAACGGGUGCGGAACACGUACACAACCUUCCUUUAAGUGGGGGAUAGCCCAGAGAAAUUUGGAUUAAUACCCCGUAAUAUAGUUGAAUGGCAUCAUUUGAUUAUUAUAGCUACGGCGCUUAAUGAUGGGUGUGCGGCUGAUUAGAUAGUUGGCGGGGUAACGGCCCACCAAGUCUACGAUCAGUAGCUGAUGUGAGAGCAUGAUCAGCCACACGGGCACUGAGACACGGGCCCGACUCCUACGGGAGGCAGCAGUAAGGAAUAUUGGUCAAUGGACGCAAGUCUGAACCAGCCAUGCCGCGUGAAGGAUUAAGGUCCUCUGGAUUGUAAACUUCUUUUAUUUGGGACGAAAAAGGGCCUUUCUAGGUCAACUGACGGUACCAGAUGAAUAAGCACCGGCUAACUCCGU